GGGGAUGUAGCUCAGUGGUAAGGCAUGUGUUUAGUAUGCAUAAGACUCUGGGUUUGUUCCCAGCAACACAA
rnacentral:tRNA from 1 species